AUUGAACGCUGGCGGCAGGCCUAACACAUGCAAGUCGAACGAGUGGCGGACGGGUGAGUAAUGUCUGGGAAACUGCCUGAUGGAGGGGGAUCACUACUGGCAACGGUAGCUAAUACCGCAUACCAUUGGAUGUGCCCAGAUGGGAUUAGCUCGUUGGUGGGGUAACGGCGCACCUAGGCGACGCUACCUAGCUGGUCUGAGAGGAUGACCAGCUACCCUGGAACCGAGAAACGGUCCAGAGUCCAACGGGAGGCAGCAGUGGGGAAUAUUGCACAAUGGGCGCAAGCCUGAUGCAGCCAUGCAGCGUGUAUGAAGAAGGCCUUCGGGUUGUAAAGUACUUUCAGCGGGGAGGCGUUACCUGCAGAAGAAGCACCGGCUAACUCCGUGCCAGAAGCCGCGGUAAUAC
rnacentral:rRNA from 1 species